GUCUCUUCCUCUUUCAGAAGCAGUGAGAAAAAAAGUCGUCGCCUUUUGUUGUUCUUUGAUUUUAGUAUGAUUAAGGAUAUGAUGGUUUUAGUUUAACUGGUAUUGAAAUCGAUUGGAUAAAAUUAGUGAAUGAAGGUGUUGUUGUCGUCGUUGUUGGUGGUACUGUUGUAUUAUGAUUCUAGGGUUUGUUGGAAGAUGAGGUUCUCUGAAACUGUCGAUGCAACAUGUUUGUAGGCCUUGAUGAGUUGAAGAAGCGUAUGAAGAGAUAGUCCACAACAACAGGAAGAAGAAGAAGACAAAAUCAUGAAUAGAUGAUUUCUAAUGAUUUAAUUUUGGGAAUUUUUUAAAUUAGGGUUCUUGUGUUCUUCAUGAGAUUAAUUGUUUUGAUUUUAUUCUAUUCAUUCAUUCUGAUUUUGAGUUGAUUGAAGAGCAUCCUGAUUCUGUGUAUUUAAGUUUUUUUUUUCUUUUUUGAUUUGAUUAAAUUGAUUCAAUUUAAGAUAUGGGUUUGUAUUAAUUUGUGUGUGAAUGUUUGUUUUGAACCUGAAUUGAAACAAUUGUUUAAUUAGGUUUUGUAUGAUUCAAUUUGAGGAUUUGAAUUGAGCAGAACUACAGAGUUAGGGUCUGAUUUGAGUUGAGCAGAAAUUCAUGGGGUUGUGAUGAUUGUGCGGAUGGUGAAUGAAAUUGUAGCAAUUGAUGACGAUUUAGGGUUCUUAGAAGAAGAAUCUGGGUCGAUUUCAUAUUCCAGUGUUGAAUUGAUGAUGUUUGAGCUCGUGGAAGAAGAAGGGAAUUUUAGGGUUAGUACUGAUUCAAGAUUACAAGAAAGAAGUGGAGGUGUUACUGUUGCUAUUGAUUAUUCAGUAUGGGUUUGUGUUGGAAUGGUUAGACAGGUAGAAUAUGAAGUGCAGAUUUAGAUGUAUGUUAGGCCAGGGAAAAAAGAAGAAGAGAUGAAUCUUGAGUCUCUGGUGGGUUUAACUGAACUAGGGCUGAAAUAUUUUUGAGCAAGAAGAUGGUGGUGAUGUGAAUCUGUUAAUCUCAGGCUGAAGUUGUUGCAGCUUCAGUUUUAGGUGUUUAGUGGUGGUGCUGAGAACUGCUAUGAAUUGCAGAUGGGUGUUAUUGCUGAACUGCAGGUGAUGAUGGCAACAUACAUGUUUGUGGUUUAUCCUGGUGGUGUUUGUUAUCGUUGUGCUGUCAUUGGUUAAUAUACUCAUUUCAUUACUGGCAGGCCUGUGCAAUUUACAACAACUGGUGGCCAAUGUUGGCAGGUAACUAGAAAAAACAUUUAGAUGGUUACUCUAUUUCUUAUGUGUUACUCUAUUUCUUGUAGCUCUCAUGUACGUGAUGGUGCCUAUGCCUUGUUUAUUUUUUGGUGGUGGAUGCAUUGCAUUCUUAACCAGCCGUGAUGGUGGAGGCUGGAUGGAUGCUGCAAAGUUCUUGAUUUGAGCUGAAGCUGGUUGAGAAUGGUUGAAUUGUGGUAACGAUGCAGGUGUUGAGAGAUUGUGAUGUUAAUGGGUUGAGUUUGCAGGAUGCAAUACAAAGAAGCUGCAAAUAGUUUUGUUUCUUGAGCUGAACUGAGAAGAAUUGGUAGCAUGAGUUGUUCUGUGAAGCUGGUUGUGUAUGGACUGAUUUACAAGAACUGAUGCAAUGAUGCAGUUAUACGGAGAUGAUGGUGGUGUUGGGUUGUAGUUGAGGACAAUAACAAGUGUCUGCGAUGCAGUGAAGUGGUGUUCAGAUGAGGCAGAGAAAAUUUGUGUUGGUUGUAGUUUGGUAGUGAUGAAUGAAAGUGUAUGUACAAGGAAUGGGAUUGAUUUAGCAGUUGAGCUCAAUCUGAGUAUGAGCAUGUGGCUUGAAUUGGAUGAAGUUGCAAGUGGAGCUCAGCUAGGAAGUUAUGCACUGCAUGGCCUUGAUUCCGAUUCAGCUCUACCCAGUCGUAGGAAGGGCUUUUUAGACUUUUCGACGCUGCUACAUAAGCGUUAAUGUCUGUUAAUUGUUGUUUACCGUUUUUUGAAUAAAACGGCACUUUAACAAAUUUAUAAAAAACGGGGGCACGUUUUUAGUGUAAUGUGAAAAGUAGGGGUACUUUAUCAAAAAGCCCUUUUCUUUUUCCGUUUAACGCGUGCAUUACAACCCCAUGGUUGUCUACAUUGGUGUAAGAUAGGCCCAACAAAACAAAUGAUAUAAAAAAAAUCCAAAAUCCCA